rnacentral:rRNA from 1 species
UACGAAGGGGGCUAGCGUUGCUCGGAAUUACUGGGCGUAAAGGGCGCGUAGGCGGCUCAUGAAGGCUGUGGUGAAAGUCCGGGGCUCAACCUCGGAUCGGCCGUGGCGACUCGUGGGCUGGAGCACUGUAGAGGCGGGUGGAAUUCCGGGUGUAGCGGUGGAAUGCGUAGAGAUCCGGAAGAACACCGACGGCGAAGGCAGCCACCUGGCCGUGCGCUGACGCUCAGGCACGAAAGCGCGGGGAGCGAACAGG